UCGGAGAGUUUGAUCCUGGCUCAGGACGAACGCUGGCGGCGUGCCUAAUACAUGCAAGUCGAGCGAACAGAAGGGAGCUUGCUCCCGGAUGUUAGCGGCGGACGGGUGAGUAACACGUGGGUAACCUGCCUGUAAGACUGGGGUAACUCCGGGAAACCGGAGCUAAUACCGGAUAGUUCCUUGAACCGCAUGG
rnacentral:rRNA from 1 species